UACAACGACAGAAAUUGUGGAAUCAAGUGAGAAUAAAAAAUUGUUCUCUCUUCCCAUUUCGGACGCCAUUUGUGUCAUAAAUUAUUUCUGUUAUCUUCAAAGCUUCUUCCCAUUGAAAAAUCAAGUGAGAAUCAACACAACAUCUUCCCAAGCUUUCCUUUAUCUACACUUGUGCAUAUUGAGUUAUGGCAAAUGACCGAGUGCAUCCCGGGCCACUAGAGUCAGGUGCGCUAGCAUUUCAAACCCGUCACCGUAGUAGAGCAAUUUGGACGGAUCCAACCUAUAACGUCCAACUCAAAGCUGUGAAAUAUGAUACGUUAACGAGGUGUGCAGCCGUGGAUGAUGAAAGAGUGAAAGAGUGGCUGCGUAGAGUCAGGUGCGCUAGCAUUUCAAACCCGUCACCGUAGUAGAGCAAUUUGGACGGAUCCAACCUAUAACGUCCAACUCAAAGCUGUGAAAUAUGAUACGUUAACGAGGUGUGCAGCCGUGGAUGAUGAAAGAGUGAAAGAGUGGCUGCGUAUAUCUGGUUUUUAUGGUGUUUCUCAGCUCACCAAAAUACAGUUGGAUCAUGGGCUUAUUACUGCCCUUUUAGAGCGAUGGAGGCAGGAGGUCCACGCUUUCCACAUGCCCUUCAGUGAGGUUGGAAUAACUCUUCAAGAUGUAGAAGUGUUAUUCGGCCUUAAGGUCGAUGGACUUUUAGUGACGGGGCAUGAUACAAUUGGCACUACGGCACAAGUAAAGUUAAUGUGCCUUGAGUUGCUGGGUUUGAGCCUGCCAAUCAGUUCCUGACAACGACCAUGAUUCACGGGUCAGUUGUCCCGGAGGUUCAGGCUCUUACUGCGGAGAGCGGAGAACACGAUGUGUUGUUGGUAACACGACGUUUAAUAUUUCAUUUAUUAAACGGUUUUUUAUUUCCCGACUCAACUAAAGGGAAAUAUAAACUAUACUUGCUCCCUUACAUUAGUAAUCUGUACGUUUGUGACGAAUAUUGCUGGGGUUCGGCUGUUCUGGGAUAUCUUUACAGGGCGUUGUGUAGAGCUUCCGAACACAACAAACGUACAAUCUAGGGGUGUCUUCUUCUAGUUCAGAUUUGGGCAUGGGAGAGGCUGCCUAUGUUUAGGCCUAGAGGUGUAUUGCCGAGCGACCAAAUCGCUGACUACCCUAUUGCAUACAGGUGGGUUUGUCGGCAUUCUUGGUUAGCAGUGCCUACGCACAUUGUCGUAGCCUAUCGCGAUCAAUUAGAUCGCCUAGCUGAACAUAGAUUUGGUUUCACCCCUUACGAUGACCAUCUCGAUGCCUUGCCCCCUAUUGCAAAGCGGGGAGGAUUUUGUGGACUGUCCAUAUUCUGCUUAUUUUUUACCAUGUGGUAGAAUAUCACCAGCCUGACCGGUUCUGCAGGCAAUUCAAUGGUUUGCAGGUUGUGCCAGUAGACGUGGUAUACAACCAACGGUUGCACGAUAUGGACCAACGGGGUAAGUCUGGAACUAAUUGGUUACAGAAACAUGCAGACCACGUGGCCCGUUGGAAUGAUCGGUAUCGUUGGGUUAUCAACAUGCAUAUAACUGAUCGACCGCAGGUGGUUGAUGGGUACCGCACAUGGUACUACAUGCACGGUCGAUGUCUUAUUGGUAACCCAACGCAUUAUAGUAUCCAGGGAUUCGUGCAGUGUGCAGCAUCACUGAACGAUGCGCGGUUGAGGCUAGAUACCAGCCAAGUCCUUGACAAUCCUGACAUCGAUCGCGAUGCAUACCUUAGGGAUGUUCAGCAGCGGAGUACUGACAUGUUAGUCAAUACUGAAUUCCUUUUGCACGUGGCGCCGGAACAAUAGUUUGGGGCCCCGAUGCCGGAUGAACCAUUUGGCCCUCCGCGUGCAGAUCGUCGUCGAUACAGGCCCAACAUGCGUGGUGGUCCAGCAAUCGGUGGUCGAGGUAGGCGCGCCGAGGAAGAGGAUGAUGAGGAUGAGGAGCAUGAGAAGCAUGUGCCGGUUGAUUACGGUGCAUUGCCGAUUGUUGUUAGGGAUCGUUCACCUGAACGUGAUAGAUUUGAUUACGGUCAGAGUAGUGGGACAAAUUAUGGAGGCCAAAUACUCUGGGUUUGCUCAAUUUGCGUCAGGAUCCCAAUUUGGUGGAUUUGGAUCCGCCGGCGCUAGUGGGUAUGGCUUAGGUGAAGUCACAUUUAACACCCCAUCUAGUGCGAUGAUUGAUCCGACACAGGGUGGUUCGUCGUUUCAGUUGUUCGAUGCUCUACCCCACAAUCAAUAUGAACCUUUCCGUCCUUCAUUCAACGCCUAUCCUAUGGAGCACCCAAUUACUGAUCUACAAUUGGGAAACCCAGCAUGGGCACAGUUCGGUGGUGAAAACAAUUUGGCCUCCACUCAACAGCCGAUUGGGCAUGUUGAAGAGGAGCAGCCACGUCCACGACGGUCUACAAGACCAACGCGACCCAUGGUGUGUGGAACCGGAACUCGACACCACAGGCACAUAUGAAGUUGUCAACGUGUAAGAGUGCAAGGCGAGAGAGAUAGAGCAUCUGCUUAGCAUUUUGUUUUUUUUUUUUUUUUCAUUUGAAUUUAAUUUGCCAUGAAUUUGUUUGAUGUUAUCUGUUUGAUGUUAAUUUCCCAAACGUGAAUACAAUGUAUCAAAGCAUAACAGAUUG